rnacentral:rRNA from 1 species
GAUGAACGCUGGCGGCGUGCCUAAUACAUGCAAGUCGAGCGAACAGAUGAGGAGCUUGCUCCUCUGACGUUAGCGGCGGACGGGUGAGUAACACGUGGAUAACCUACCUAUAAGACUGGGAUAACUUCGGUAAACCGGAGCUAAUACCGGAUAAUAUAUUGAACCGCAUGGUUCAAUAGUGAAAGACGGUUUUGCUGUCACUUAUAGAUGGAUCCGCGCCGCAUUAGCUAGUUGGUAAGGUAACGGCUUACCAAGGCAACGAUGCGUAGCCGACCUGAGAGGGUGAUCGGCCACACUGGAACUGAGACACGGUCCAGACUCCUACGGGAGGCAGCAGUAGGGAAUCUUCCGCAAUGGGCGAAAGCCUGACGGAGCAACGCCGCGUGAGUGAUGAAGGUCUUCGGAUCGUAAAACUCUGUUAUUAGGGAAGAACAAAUGUGUAAGUAACUAUGCACGUCUUGACGGUACCUAAUCAGAAAGCCACGGCUAACUACGUG